rnacentral:misc_RNA from 1 species
UACAGAGACUGCGAGCGUUAUUCGGAUUCACUGGGCGUAAAGGGUGCGCAGGCGGUUGUGUGUGUCAGGUGUGAAAUCUCGGAGCUCAACUCCGAAACUGCGCCUGAAACUACAUGACUAGAGCAUUGGAGAGGGUAGCGGAAUUCACGGUGUAGCAGUGAAAUGCGUAGGUAUCGUGAGGAACACCAGAGGCGAAGGCGGCUUCCUGGACAAUUGCUGACGCUCAGGCACGAAAGCGUGGGGAGCAAAAGGG